rnacentral:lncRNA from 1 species
UUGCGUGGAAUUGAUUUGAUUGUGCAAUUUUAGUGAUUUAUCCCAAAUUGAAUGAAAUUGAAUGAUUGAUUGGUUGAUGGCCGAGUGUUAUUAUUUAGCAUCGAUAAUGCUGUAAUGAACUGUAAAGCAGAGGGAAUUGUGAAAGUGAAUUGGGGAAAUUCUCGGCUGAAACCAAUCGGGAAUGAUGUAAUGAGACAUACGUGGUUCGGUGAAUCACUGGUGAAAACGACGCCUUAAAGAACGCACGAGUGCUAUCUAUUACAUGCAGCAGUAUGGACAUACGUGGUUCGGUGAUGGAGGAUAUCACUGGUGAAAACAACGCCUUAAAGAACGCACGAGUGCCGUCCAUUAUACACGUCACCUUGGCGGAAGCAGCGCCCGAGAGCAUUAAUGAGGCUCUGUGACUAAGUGUACUGCUGGAGAUUAUCGUGAUCGGUAAUUGGUACGUCACCUUGGCGAAAAAGACACCCGAGAGUAUUCAUCUGGCUCUGUGACUGAGUACCUGAAUGGAGAUUAUAAAGUAUGGUGUUGAUGUGACCGAGAGGUGGUCCGAAUGACAUGUAAUCGACUAGGUCGAUUUGAUCGAUACUUCGAUCUGUGAUGUGAUUGCUUGGGUGCCUAUUGAAUUGUGCUAAUAUGCAGGUGGAAUCUGAGGCCAAGGUAAGUCUUCUGACUCACGUUGUGCAUAAGCAGCCCUAAGGUGUAUUAGUUUACUAAUCAGAUCUUAGAGGGUAGAAUUUGCUGAGACGUAGUCUCAUCCCGGUUUGGAGAAAACAUUUCAGGACCCUGAUGAAGAACCUGAGGAGAAAGAACUCGAAGAGGAGUAUCUGAAGGAGAACCCCGAUGAUGAUCCAGAGUAGGAUCCUGAUGACUGUUGCUGUAGAAUCUAAUUGAGUAGAAACCAACCUUUUUAGCAUGGUUUGUUUAUGUACAUGUAUGACUGAGUCAUUAUAGAUGUACAUAAGGGUGUUGGUUUUCAGGUUUAAUUUUCUAGUCCUACUAAUAUAUCCUAUUGUUUUAUUGUUUGGGGAUUUUUAUAACUGCUUCCGCAUGUGCUAUUAAAAAUGAAAGGGUCGACGAUAUGUAGUCCUGGGAUAUCGCAUUUUAAAAUCGACCAAAGGUAAGGGAUGUGCGCGUGCCUGAGGAUCGGGGCGUGACACCCUAGAUCAUGGAUUUUUGCUUGGAAAUUUUGUGUUGACAAAGAUAGGCUAGGACUAUAAUAGCGACACCAAAUGCACUGA